rnacentral:tRNA from 1 species
CGGGGCGUAGCGCAGUCUGGUAGCGCAUCUGCUUUGGGAGCAGAGGGUCGUUGGUUCGAAUCCAGCCGCCCCGACCA